rnacentral:rRNA from 1 species
UACGGAGGAUCCAAGCGUUAUCCGGAAUCAUUGGGUUUAAAGGGUCCGUAGGCGGUUUUGUAAGUCAGUGGUGAAAGCCCAUCGCUCAACGGUGGAACGGCCAUUGAUACUGCAAGACUUGAAUUAUUGGGAAGUAACUAGAAUAUGUAGUGUAGCGGUGAAAUGCUUAGAGAUUACAUGGAAUACCAAUUGCGAAGGCAGGUUACUACCAAUAUAUUGACGCUGAUGGACGAAAGCGUGGGGAGCGAACGAG